rnacentral:ncRNA from 1 species
UAAAUGGUUAUGAUGAGGACAUGGGUUCCAUGGACGGUUUUUAGAGAGGGGAGGGUUGGUGCAACUCCCUAACUCGAAAUGGUAACUUACCACCUCUGAACUGCAGCAGGGAACGAUGGUCUAAGUAUCUGCUGCCGGCAUAAAUGUCGUUAUGAACAAUCUUGAGCUGCAAAACGGGAAUGCUUUUCGUUUUGUAGGAACAAGGGUGGAACCACGAGUAACACUCGUCCCUUUU